rnacentral:rRNA from 1 species
AGAGUUUGAUCAUGGCUCAGAUUGAACGCUGGCGGCAGGCCUAACACAUGCAAGUCGAACGGUAACAGGAAGCAGCUUGCUGCUUUGCUGACGAGUGGCGGACGGGUGAGUAAUGUCUGGGAAACUGCCUGAUGGAGGGGGAUAACUACUGGAAACGGUAGCUAAUACCGCAUAAUGUCGCAAGACCAAAGAGGGGGACCUUCGGGCCUCUUGCCAUCGGAUGUGCCCAGAUGGGAUUAGCUUGUAGGUGGGGUAACGGCUCACCUAGGCGACGAUCCCUAGCUGGUCUGAGAGGAUGACCAGCCACACUGGAACUGAGACACGGUCCAGACUCCUACGGGAGGCAGCAGUGGGGAAUAUUGCACAAUGGGCGCAAGCCUGAUGCAGCCAUGCCGCGUGUAUGAAGAAGGCCUUCGGGUUGUAAAGUACUUUCAGCGGGGAGGAAGGGAGUAAAGUUAAUACCUUUGCUCAUUGACGUUACCCGCAGAAGAAGCACCGGCUAACUCCGUGCCAGCAGCCGCGGUAAUACGGAGGGUGCAAGCGUUAAUCGGAAUUACUGGGCGUAAAGCGCACGCAGGCGGUUUGUUAAGUCAGAUGUGAAAUCCCCGGGCUCAACCUGGGAACUGCAUCUGAUACUGGCAAGCUUGAGUCUCGUAGAGGGGGGUAGAAUUCCAGGUGUAGCGGUGAAAUGCGUAGAGAUCUGGAGGAAUACCGGUGGCGAAGGCGGCCCCCUGGACGAAGACUGACGCUCAGGUGCGAAAGCGUGGGGAGCAAACAGGAUUAGAUACCCUGGUAGUCCACGCCGUAAACGAUGUCGACUUGGAGGUUGUGCCCUUGAGGCGUGGCUUCCGGAGCUAACGCGUUAAGUCGACCGCCUGGGGAGUACGGCCGCAAGGUUAAAACUCAAAUGAAUUGACGGGGGCCCGCACAAGCGGUGGAGCAUGUGGUUUAAUUCGAUGCAACGCGAAGAACCUUACCUGGUCUUGACAUCCACGGAAGUUUUCAGAGAUGAGAAUGUGCCUUCGGGAACCGUGAGACAGGUGCUGCAUGGCUGUCGUCAGCUCGUGUUGUGAAAUGUUGGGUUAAGUCCCGCAACGAGCGCAACCCUUAUCCUUUGUUGCCAGCGGUCCGGCCGGGAACUCAAAGGAGACUGCCAGUGAUAAACUGGAGGAAGGUGGGGAUGACGUCAAGUCAUCAUGGCCCUUACGACCAGGGCUACACACGUGCUACAAUGGCGCAUACAAAGAGAAGCGACCUCGCGAGAGCAAGCGGACCUCAUAAAGUGCGUCGUAGUCCGGAUUGGAGUCUGCAACUCGACUCCAUGAAGUCGGAAUCGCUAGUAAUCGUGGAUCAGAAUGCCACGGUGAAUACGUUCCCGGGCCUUGUACACACCGCCCGUCACACCAUGGGAGUGGGUUGCAAAAGAAGUAGGUAGCUUAACCUUCGGGAGGGCGCUUACCACUUUGUGAUUCAUGACUGGGGUGAAGUCGUAACAAGGUAACCGUAGGGGAACCUGCGGUUGGAUCACCU